GACGAACGCUGGCGGCGUGCCUAACACAUGCAAGUCGAACGAAGCAUAGCAAUAUGCUUAGUGGCGGACGGGUGAGUAACGCGUGAACAAUCUGCCCUGUACAAAGGAAUAGCCUCGGGAAACCGGGAUUAAAACCGUAUGACACUUUAGUAUCGCAUGAUAAGAAAGUCAAAUCGAAUAGAGGUAUGGGAUGAGUUCGCGUCUGAUUAGCUGGUUGGCGGGGUAACGGCCCACCAAGGCGACGAUCAGUAGCCGGCCUGAGAGGGUGAACGGCCACACUGGAACUGAGACACGGUCCAGACUCCUACGGGAGGCAGCAGUAGGGAAUAUUGCGCAAUGGGGGAAACCCUGACGCAGCGACGCCGCGUGAGUGAUGAAGGCCUUUCUGGUUGUAAAGCUCUGUAAGGAGGGAAGAAUGUCAGGCAGUAACGUGUCUGAGUGACGGUACCUCCGGAGUAAGGACCGGCUAAAUACGUGCCAGCAGCCGACGGUAAAACGUAG
rnacentral:rRNA from 1 species